GCUUGAGGGUGUUUACCUAGACACUAAUUCUGAGAGUAACAUGGAGGCAAGUUCAGUUAUUCAGUUGAACAAGCAUUUAAGUGCUUAUCUCUGACCUAUUGAUGUAAGGGACAUGUAAGUCAGCAGUAAUGGUGUAACCCAUCAUGUCUGCAGUGCAAUCACAUGGACUUUGGAGUGUGAAAGAGAAGAAAUGAAGAGAUCUUCCAUGAGAAAGGGCAGUGUUCUUUCCUAUGUAAAUGCAUAUUGUGAUUUAUCAAGGCAGUGCAAGAAUACAUCCCAUAUAUUAAAUGAAACUGACAGAAAAAAUGGAAGUUAUGGGGCCACAGAAGAAAUUUAAGAGAUUUAUUUGCAAACCUGAGAAAUUAGAAGUUACAGUAAAGCAAAGACUGGAAAUACAAGGGCAGAUGAGCCAAAGGACACAGUUGAGGAAAAAUACAUGAAUACUAAGCAGUGGAGGGAGGAACACCAAGAAAGUGAAAAAUGUGAAACCAACAGAAACCGGAAAACUGCAAUAGAGAGAGAAAAAAAUUUACCUAUAAAAGAAUUUAAGGAAUGUGAGUAUUAUGGAUAAAAAGUCAUUUCACUUUUUUUCUCUGUUCUCAACCCUCUCUGUACUGAUUGAGGACCUGCAAGGUUAAGAAACUGCACCUCUAUUUAUAAAAACUGUGUUGUUGAUCCUCAUGCUGCCAUCUUUUGUAAAGGUUUUCUGUUGUUUCAGACAAAUGCACAAAUUGUUCCUUCAACAUUUAAUCUCUUUUGUCAUUCAAAUAGACAGCACUCCACCUCUAACAAUCUGGAAUGUGACAUAACAUUAAACUGUAACCUCAGUGCCAUCUUUCCUCGUGUCAUCAGUUUUCAGUUCUCAGUUUUUCCUCCCUUAUGUGCAGAUUUUGCAAUCACAUCUGUUGCUAAUAUUUAAUCAUCUACUUCUCUUUAGACAGGAAAAAAGUUUACCAAGCACUAACAAGUACUGAACCCACUGAUCAACUGGCACCUAGCAUGCAGAUAUUUUUCAUACAUUUUUUUAAAGGAAGCUUUUUUAAAAUAUAAAUAUU